rnacentral:rRNA from 1 species
GGGGAAUAUUGGACAAUGGGCGGAAGCCUGAUCCAGCCAUGCCGCGUGUGUGAAGAAGGCCUUUUGGUUGUAAAGCACUUUAAGCGAGGAGGAGGCUCUUAAGGUUAAUACCCUUGAUGAGUGGACGUUACUCGCAGAAUAAGCACCGGCUAACUCUGUGCCAGCAGCCGCGGUAAUACAGAGGGUGCGAGCGUUAAUCGGAUUUACUGGGCGUAAAGCGUGCGUAGGCGGCUGAUUAAGUCGGAUGUGAAAUCCCUGAGCUUAACUUAGGAAUUGCAUUCGAUACUGGUCAGCUAGAGUAUGGGAGAGGAUGGUAGAAUUCCAGGUGUAGCGGUGAAAUGCGUAGAGAUCUGGAGGAAUACCGAUGGCGAAGGCAGCCAUCUGGCCUAAUACUGACGCUGAGGUACGAAAGCAUGGGGAGCAAAC